GUGACUGCGUACCUUUUGUAUAAUGGGUCAGCGACUUAUAUUCUGUAGCAAGGUUAACCGUAUAGGGGAGCCGGAGGGAAACCGAGUCUUAACCGGGCGUUAAGUUGCAGGGUAUAGACCCGAAACCCGGUGAUCUAGCCAUGGGCAGGUUGAAGGUUGGGUAACACUAACUGGAGGACCGAACCGACUAAUGUUGAAAAAUUAGCGGAUGACCUGUGGCUGGGGGUGAAAGGCCAAUCAAACCGGGAGAUAGCUGGUUCUCCCCGAAAGCUAUUUAGGUAGCGCCUCGUGAAUUCAUCUCCGGGGGUAGAGCACUGUUUCGGCUAGGGGGCCAUCCCGGCUUACCAACCCGAUGCAAACUGCGAAUACCGGAGAAUGUUAUCACGGGAGACACACGGCGGGUGCUAACGUCCGUCGUGAAGAGGGAAACAACCCAGACCGCCAGCUAAGGUCCCAAAGUCAUGGUUAAGUGGGAAACGAUGUGGGAAGGCCCAGACAGCCAGGAUGUUGGCUUAGAAGCAGCCAUCAUUUAAAGAAAGCGUAAUAGCUCACUGGUCGAGUCGGCCUGCGCGGAAGAUGUAACGGGGCUAAACCAUGCACCGAAGCUGCGGCAGCGACACUGUGUGUUGUUGGGUAGGGGAGCGUUCUGUAAGCCUGUGAAGGUGUGUCGUGAGGCAUGCUGGAGGUAUCAGAAGUGCGAAUGCUGACAUAAGUAACGAUAAAGCGGGUGAAAAGCCCGCUCGCCGGAAGACCAAGGGUUCCUGUCCAACGU
rnacentral:rRNA from 1 species